rnacentral:rRNA from 1 species
GGGCCCGCACAAGCGGUGGAGCAUGUGGUUUAAUUCGAUGAUACGCGAGGAACCUUACCAGGACUUAAAUGUAAGUUGCAUGAUUCAGAAAUGAAUCUUUCUUCGGACUACUUACAAGGUGCUGCAUGGUUGUCGUCAGCUCGUGCCGUGAGGUGUCAGGUUAAGUCCUAUAACGAGCGCAACCCCUAUCGUUAGUUGCCAUCAAGUAAAGUUGGGAACUCUAGCGAAACUGCCGGUGCAAACCGAGAGGAAGGUGGGGAUGACGUCAAAUCAUCACGGCCCUUACGUUCUGGGCUACACACGUGCUACAAUGGUCGGUACAGAAAGCAGCCACUAUGCGAAUAGGAGCUAAUCUUUAAAACCGAUCUCAGUUCGGAUCGCAGUCUGCAACUCGACUGCGUGAAGCUGGAAUCGCUAGUAAUCGGAUAU